rnacentral:rRNA from 1 species
CCCAGACUUCUACGGGAGGCAGCAGUGGGGAAUAUUGCACAAUGGGCGGAAGCCUGAUGCAGCGACGCCGCGUGAGGGAUGACGGCCUUCGGGUUGUAAACCUCUUUCAGUAGGGAAGAAGCGCAAGUGACGGUACCUGCAGAAGAAGCGCCGGCUAACUACGUGCCAGCAGCCGCGGUAAUACGUAGGGCGCAAGCGUUGUCCGGAAUUAUUGGGCGUAAAGAGCUCGUAGGCGGUUUGUCGCGUCUGCUGUGAAAGCCCGGGGCUCAACCCCGGGUCUGCAGUGGGUACGGGCAGACUAGAGUGCAGUAGGGGAGACUGGAAUUCCUGGUGUAGCGGUGAAAUGCGCAGAUAUCAGGAGGAACACCGAUGGCGAAGGCAGGUCUCUGGGCUGUUACUGACGCUGAGGAGCGAAAGCAUGGGGAGCGAACAGGAUUAGAUACCCUGGUAGUCCAUGCCGUAAACGUUGGGCACUAGGUGUGGGGGACAUUCCACGUUUUCCGCGCCGUAGCUAACGCAUUAAGUGCCCCGCCUGGGGAGUACGGCCGCAAGGCUAAAACUCAAAGGAAUUGACGGGGGCCCGCACAAGCGGCGGAGCAUGCGGAUUAAUUCGAUGCAACGCGAAGAACCUUACCAAGGCUUGACAUUCACCGGACCGCUCCAGAGAUGGGGUUUCCCUUCGGGGUCGGUGGACAGGUGGUGCAUGGUUGUCGUCAGCUCGUGUCGUGAGAU